CCUACGGGAGGCAGCAGUGAGGAAUAUUGGUCAAUGGGCGCGAGCCUGAACCAGCCAAGUCGCGUGAGGGAAGACGGUCCUAUGGAUUGUAAACCUCUUUUGUCGGGGAGCAAAAGACGCCACGCGUGGCGUUCCGAGAGUACCCGAAGAAAAAGCAGCGGCUAACUCCGUGCCAGCAGCCGCGGUAAUACGGGGGAUGCGAGCGUUAUCCGGAUUUAUUGGGUUUAACGGGUGCGCCGGCGGAAGUUCAAGUCAGCGGUAAAAUUGAGAGGCUCAACCUCUUCGAGCCGGUGAAACGGGUUGUCUUGAGUGAGUGAGAAGGAUGCGGCAUGCGUGGUGUAGC
rnacentral:rRNA from 1 species